AUAAAAAACAUGGGACAAAAAGACAAAAACCAAAUAAAAAACAGAAACCCCACCCACCCCUUUCUAUUUCUCUCACGUGCAUUUCACUCUCUACUCCCAUCUUCUAGAAUUCUCUCCACUCUCACUUUCAUUUUGUUCGUAUGUAUUCCAAUUCACCAUAAUUCUUUUUCUCUUCUCUCCACUCUUGAUGAUUAAUUACUCAUAUAAGCAAAGCUAUCUCCUAGUUUACAAGUGUUCAUGGGUAAAGAUUUUGGAGUUAGGGUUAUUGCUCUAAGAAAGGAGAAGAAUACCCAUCUCUUGAAAGUUGGUCAUUUAUAUUCUUUGAGAUUCGAUGAAAAUUGCUCCGGUGGUCAUUCCGGAAGGCAUUGCUAGGAACGGAGUUGAUUCGUCAUAGUUGUGAGUUGAUGAUGAUCAUUACUACUUAUUUUAACUACUAUUAUUAAUUUUAUGUUACUUAUUUUCUAUGUUAAAGUAUUUAUAAAAAUUGGGGAACACACCCUUUUAACAUUUUUCUCGUCAUUAUUAUAUAAUUUCGAUGUCAUCAAAUUUAACUAUACUCUUUGGAUUUAUCCAUGAUUCAUUGAGCAAAUGAUUUGAAAUUGAGGGUUGGGUGCAUAUACUAUGACAUGAGUUUUGAGAUACAUAGGAAUACAGUUUUGUGAUAUUUGUUUUCGGAAAAUGUUAAUAUUCUUCUAUUGGAAUUGACUUUACUUAUGGUUGGAAUAUUUUCAAUUUCAUUUGGAUUUUUAUGUAUUUCCAAAAGUUUUAGAAAUGUGUGAAACAUGGUUUUAAGAGAUGUAUUUUAAGAAUUGCGGUUAUAAUGACGACGGCCUAGGUGCACCUAGUUAUAUAAUAUCGAGUAGAAAAGGGCUAUCCGUUAGAUGGAGCCGCCCCUAAGUGAAAGGCCACUCUUAGGAGGAAAGGGCUAUCAACGAGAUGGAGCCGUCUCUUGAUUCUAUCGUAACAAAUUCUUUUUAUUUGGUUGGAUGAGGAUGCAUUUUCGUAAUCGAGGUGAAAAGGGCUAUCCGUUAGAUGGAGCCGCCCCUAAGUGAAAGGCCGCUCUUAGGAGGAAAGGGCUAUCAACGAGAUGGAGCCGUCUCUCGAUUCUCUCGUAAUGAUUUCUUUUUAUUUGAUUGGAUUUCUAUAUUUUUCUUAUUUCAAUUUCAAACUCUAUAAUGAUUUGAAUCGAGUAUUAUUUAUAUUACAUAAUUACUACUUUACAAGAAUUGUUACAAGCUUUCUAAAAAUCAAAUGCUCGUGCCUUGUGUGUUUCCCAUCUAGUUGGUAGUGGUUGUUAUCUCUCACUAAGUCCUUGUGACUUACCCCUUCAUCUUCUAUUUUUUUUCAGAUUCAAAGUCAGCUGAGUAGGGGUUUCUAGCAGAUAUUGAGAGUCGUCGGUAUCAUUCUAUUGGUAGGCUUCCUUGAUGAAAUGUUACUUUGUAUAUGUAUAUUUUGAGUUGAUUGAAUAUCUGCAGCUAUUUUGAGUCUAGGAAUCUUUUGUGUUGAAAUGUAUAAAUUUAAACAUGUAUAUUUUGAAACUUCUGACUUAAUGAUGUAUAUGAUGCAAACAGGAUUUAUUUUGAUUUGGAAAUAUUAUAUUUAUUGUUGUUAAAUUUGGUCAUUAGGCUUGCCGGACUAGUAUUAGUUCGUGCGCCGGUCACGAUUGAAAUUGGGUCGUGACAGCCAUGGUGAGAGAGGCGGUGGCGGAGGAAUUGAAUUGAGUUUUUUGAGUGGUGGUGUUGUUGGAUAACUUUGUCACCUGUGUUGUCAGAGCUGUGAUGGCCGCGGUUAAAGCCGUCAUGGCACCGUAAAACUCUGCUUUCGUCACCGGGUGAUCUCCCAUCUGAUCACGUUAGAAAAAGAACAGGAGAAACCUGCUCUGAUACCAACUGACGCAGUACGGAAGCGUGAAGGAAAAGCAAGCGCUAAUCCUUUUAGAUAAAGGUUCUGGAAUCCACCAGAUUUCCGGAAUCAACCAGAAAGAGCAAUUUGGAAUCCACCAAAUUUGAGAAAAAUCUCUGAAUUUUAUUCAAUCAAAAGGUUUCUUCAAGGCUACAAUAAUUUAGUUUAAAUAGGAGUGAAAAAUAAAAUUAACAAAUCUCCUAAAAGAUUGUAAAAAUAAAAACAACAAAUCUAGCUAAAUAAAAAUUACAAAUCUACCUAAAAUAUAAAAAAAUAACUAACCUAGGUGAAAUAUCAAAAUAAGAAAUCAACCUAAAAUAUAAUAAAACUAAAUCUAACUAAAAUAAUAAUAUACAGAAGAAAUCCUCCUACAUCAACACCUUUUCAGUUUCUCCAAAUGAAAGAUUUUUAUAAGUUUGGCGUGUGUAUUGCAAAAAGUGAUUAUUUAUAGUUCCAGUCACCAUGGCAUUGUUCCUCUUUGUAUAUGCUCCUUAUUAGAUUCUUAAUAGUUUUAAAUGAAUUUUCACUUUGAAUUUGAAAAAUUUGACAAGGUUGCUGCAUGUUAAGUUGAGACAGCUUUAUGCAAGAUUUGCUUCAAAUUUUGGAACUGAUUCUUAGAAGAGUGAUUCUGGCAAGAGGAACCCCAACAACCAAAUGCUUGGAAGGCCUGUGAGUUGCAAUGGAGGCUUGCAAUGGCUUUGCAGUAACUUAUGUUCCAUUAGAUGACACUCUUGGUCCUUAUGCUGUGGAGUUUAUCAUAAACCAUGCUGAAGUUUCAAUUGCAUUUCUACAAGAAAAUAAGAUCCCAUCAGUAUGUGCUAGUUCUUUCUUUGAGCUUAAUGUUUUGUUUUCACUAUUGAAAUAUGAAUUGUCUUCCACAUUUAAUUGUUCUACUGUUUAAAUCUUCUGAGAUAGAAAUAAGCAUCUAUCUUUUUAUUUCUUCCUAAACUAACAUUUAUUUUCAUCGAUUUUGUCAUGUCUUGAUCACUGUUCUUUAAAUCUCAAAAGUAGGUCAAGCAUUAUUGUCUUAUUUACUCACAGUCCAGAUUUUGUCAUGUCUUGCUUUACCUGAAUCAUCUUUGAACUUUUCUCGCUAUGACGGUAUCAGGUCAGUGGUUGACUCCCCAUGUAACCCCCCUCUCUCUCUCCCUCCAUAUACACACACAACUGAACAUAGUGUUUUGUUGUGUUCUUAUUUUCAUUGAUAAAUAAUUUUGUUUGGCUUGGAUCCAUUUUCUCUAUUCUAGAUAUGGAAACAAGUUUACGCUGAUUAGUUGGACUCUCUCUUUGGAGAUUCCUAAGCCAGAGGGUUAAGCUCUAAGGUGACAACGAGAGGUUUGGGAUCUAUAAGAAGACGUUUUAUGUGAGUUAAUGUGUUACAAGCAAUAACCGCUACAAGUAAUAGCUUUAAGGAGGCACUAAAUCAAAAUAAUAUCUUCAUUUCCCUUGAGCUGCUAAUAAAAUUGGUAGAAAGAAAACUGAUCUUUUGGCUAAAUAUGUUGGUGACUUCAUGACUAUAAGUAUUUUUCAUUUUUCUUAUUGGCUAGAUUUUUAUCUCAUACUUCUGAUUUUAUGUGAACUGGAUAAGUUAGGUUGAGGUUUCCAUUACUGGUAUUCAACUUCACCAACAAAUAUGAGGUGCUCGUCAUAUUGUCACAAAGCUAGUAGUCAUGGAGUUGCAUAUGGGAAAUGAAGCAGGUCAUGGAGAUGCAUAUUUUUAAUUUUAGUGUUUACCAAAGAAGAAUAGAUACUUAGAUAUCAUAAUUUUGCUUUGUUUGUUAUUAAGUUUGAACCAUUAGCAAACUUAGUAUUUUGAUACUUAAAGUAGUCAUGCAUAUAGAUUGUUAUGCUGAAUUUUUGCACUAUGUAUGUAAAGCUACUGGAGCUCAUUUGUAUUCGAAUUUAAUGUAUGAAAUUCCAUUUAAAUUUGAAUCGUUAUUUUAUUUUGAA